AGCGAACGCUGGCGGCAGGCCUAACACAUGCAAGUCGAACGAACCUUUCGGGGUUAGUGGCGGACGGGUGAGUAACACGUGGGAACGUGCCUUUAGGUUCGGAAUAACUCAGGGAAACUUGUGCUAAUACCGAAUGUGCCCUUCGGGGGAAAGAUUUAUAGCCGUUAGAGCGGCCCGCGUCUGAUUAGCUAGUUGGUUGAGGUAAUGGCUCACCAAGGCGACGAUCAGUAGCUGGUCUGAGAGGAUGAUCAGCCACAUUGGGACUGAGACACGGCCCAAACUCCUACGGGAGGCAGCAGUGGGGAAUCUUGCGCAAUGGGCGAAAGCCUGACGCAGCCAGGCCGCGUGAAUGAUGAAGGUCUUAGGAUUGUAAAAUUCUUUCACCGGGGACGAUAAUGACGGUACCCGGAGAAGAAGCCCCGGCUAACUUCGUG
rnacentral:rRNA from 1 species